AGCAGCCGCCACGGUAAUACGAAGGGGGCUAGCGUUGCUCGGAAUCACUGGGCGUAAAGGGUGCGUAGGCGGGUCUUUAAGUCAGGGGUGAAAUCCUGGAGCUCAACUCCAGAACUGCCUUUGAUACUGAAGAUCUUGAGUUCGGGAGAGGUGAGUGGAACUGCGAGUGUAGAGGUGAAAUUCGUAGAUAUUCGCAAGAACACCAGUGGCGAAGGCGGCUCACUGGCCCGAUACUGACGCUGAGGCACGAAAGCGUGGGGAGCAAACAGGAUUAGAGACCCCGUAGUCCCUGUCUCUUAUACA
rnacentral:rRNA from 1 species